AGCACCCCCUAUAAAUAGAGGAUUCUCAUAUUGUUAUGCUUCAUCGAUCAUCAACAUUCAUAACAUUCCAAAUAAUGAGUAGCCAAAACAUAAGCAUUCAAAAGGUUCUGUGCCCUGUGACAAGGCCACCUCCUACUAAUUCAAAUCCUCCUCCAAAACCUGUAAAAAAGUUGCCAACUAUUCAAGAUGCCUUUGCAAGAAGGACCAAAUCAUAAUCCCACUACAUUCAAGUGUGCUUUUGGUGAAUGAAGCAGUGCAAUUAAGUACGUACCAUGAGGAGGAUAUAUAUAUAUGUAGUGGUCUUAUUUGUUUAUUUUAUUUGUUAUAGUUUGACUCCACUUAAUUACAUUUGUUAAAAUAUGUGCUUCUAUCUCCAAUAAUAUGUACUUUAAUUUAAUGUGUUUCUCAUUGUAAACAAGUGAGAGUUAUCUUAGUAAUAAAAAUGUGAUGAUAUGCA